rnacentral:SRP_RNA from 1 species
GCUGGGCAUGGUGGUGGAUGCCUGUAAUCCCAGCUACUCAGGAGGCUGAGGCAGGAGAAUUGCUUGAACCCAGGAGGUGGAGGUUGCAGUGAGCCAAGAUCACGCCACUGCACUCCCACCUGGGUGACAAAGUGAGACUCUGUCUCCC